GUGAAUCAUCGAAUUUUUGAACGCAAAUUGCACUCUCCUCGAAGAGUAUGCGUGUUUCAGGUUGAGCCUCUAUAAAACCGACAUCGUUGCUGUUUGGCGGUGGCCUUCGUCGGAAAUUGGGUCAUCUUAAAUCCUUUUGCUUUAAGCGACUUAAAAUUUUCUUUUGAUUCUUUGAACGUUUCUAUGAUC
rnacentral:misc_RNA from 1 species